rnacentral:rRNA from 1 species
UACGUAGGGGGCUAGCGUUGUCCGGAAUCAUUGGGCGUAAAGCGCGUGUAGGCGGUUCGGUAAGUCCGCUGUGAAAGUCGGGGGCUCAACCCUCGAAUGCCGGUGGAUACUGUCGGACUAGAGUACGGAAGAGGCGAGUGGAAUUCCUGGUGUAGCGGUGAAAUGCGCAGAUAUCAGGAGGAACACCAAUUGCGAAGGCAGCUCGCUGGGACGUUACUGACGCUGAGGAGCGAAAGCAUGGGGAGCGAACAGG